rnacentral:rRNA from 1 species
UAAUACCGCAUACGUCCUGAGGGAGAAAGCGGGGGACCAUUUGGCCCCGCGCUAUCGGAUGAGCCCAUGUCAGAUUAUCUAGUUGGUAAGGUAAGGGCUUACCAAGGCGACCAUCCGUAGCUGGUCUGAGACGAUGAUCAGCCGCACUGGGACUGAGACACGUGCCCAGACUCCUACUGCAGGCAGCAGUCGGGAAUAUUGGACAAUGGGGGCAACCCUGAUCCAGCAAUGCCGCGUGUGGUGAAGAAGGCCUGCGGGUUGUAAAGCCCUUUCGGUACUGAAGAAAGGCCCUGUAUAAAUAUCAUGGGGUGUUGACGUUAGCUACAGAAGAAGCACCGGCAAACUCUGUGCCAGCAGCCUCUGUAAUACUGAGGGUGCGAGCCGUAAUCGGAAUCACUGGGCGUAAUGGGUGCGUACGCGGUCGCUUAAGUCGGAUGUGAAAGCCCUGGGCUUAACCUGGGAACCGCAUUCGAUACUGGGUAACUAGAGUCUGAUAGAGGGUGGUGGAAUUCCGGGUGUAACGGUGAAAUGCGUAGAUAUCCGGAGGAACACCAGUGGCGAAGGCGGCUACCUGGAUCAAGACUGACGCUGAGGCACGAAAGCGUGGGGAGCAAACAGGACUAGAUACCCUGGUAGUCCACGCCUAAACGAUGAGAACUAGCUGUUGGGGGUGACUGGCCCUUGGUAGCGAAGCCAACGCGAUAAGUUCUCCGCCUGGGGAGUACGGCCGCAAGGUUAAAACUCAAAUGAAUUGACGGGGGCCCGCACAAGCGGUGGAGCAUGUGGUUUAAUUCGAUGCAACCCGAAGAACCUUACCUGGCCUUGACAUCCCCCGAACCCUUGAGAGAUUGAGGGGUGCCUUCGGGACCGGGGAGACAGGUGCUGCAUGGCUGUUGUCAGCUCGUGUCGUGAGAUGUUGGGUUAAGUCCCGCUACGAGCGCAACCCUUGUCCUUAGUUGCCAGCAUUUCGGAUGGGAACUGUAAGGAGACUGCCGGUGACAAACCGGAGGAAGGUGGGGUAUGACGUCAAGUCAUCAUGGCCCUUAUGGCCAGGGCUACACACGUGCUACAAUGGCCGGUACAGAGGGAGGCGAAGCUGCGAGGUGA